rnacentral:rRNA from 1 species
CCUCGGAUCAGGUAGGGUCCCCCCGCUGAACUUA